GGGAAGGGACACAGUUCUCACCAGACCAGAGAACAGACCACAGUGCACAGACCACCAAUGACAUUGGGAAACCUGCUGUGCCUCUUCUUCGGUCAGUGGGCGUCUCACAGGAGCCCUGGAGAGUGCAUCAGCUGUGAUGAGCGCCUUCCCUGGCACGGCCAGUAGUGGUUUAUGGUCUGUCUCUAUCGUGAAUGAUAAGCCUAUGAGAGAGACUUCGAGAAAUGUAUGCGAUUGGACGCCACUCCAUGUGUCUCUGCAUAAGGACAGCACCCAGGCCAAAGGAUGAUGCGUCUGCAGACACUUUUGUUUUGGCUAGUGGUCUGUACUGAGCCAACACUCUCUGUGAUGCCAGCUCCUUUUUGAGAUUUUCAAAUGAUGUCUGUUGCAUUUGGCCCCAAGACCACUCAUUGUUCUUUGAUAGCAAGUCUCUGAGCGGUUUGGUGGUGCAAUGCAAUGUAUGUGACCAUUCCCAAGAAACGGCUAACAUCUGCUGUAUUCUGUGGGAUGGGCAUGUCUGUGAUAGCUCUGAUUUUCCCGGGGUCAGGUUCUAUGGCUCCAGCACUGAUUUUGUACCAGCAUGUUUUUC